rnacentral:rRNA from 1 species
UACGUAGGGCGCAAGCGUUGUCCGGAAUUACUGGGCGUAAAGCGUGCGUAGGUGGUUUGUUAAGUCUGUUGUGAAAGCCCCGGGCUCAACCUGGGAAUGGCAAUGGAUACUGGCAAGCUAGAGUGCGGUAGAGGGUAGUGGAAUUCCCGGUGUAGCGGUGAAAUGCGUAGAGAUCGGGAGGAACACCAGUGGCGAAGGCGGCUACCUGGACCAUUACUGACGCUGAGGCACGAAAGCUAGGGGAGCAAACAGG